UACGGAGGUGGCAAGCGUUGCUCGGAAUCACUGGGCAUAAAGGGCGCGUAGGCGGUUCGACAAGUCAGGUGUGAAAUACCCCGGCUCAACCGAGGAAUGGCGCUUGAUACUAUCGAGCUGGAGUGCAGUAGGGGAGAGUGGAAUUCCCGGUGUAGCGGUGAAAUGCGUAGAUAUCGGGAAGAACGCCGGUGGCGAAAGCGGCUCUCUGGACUGUAACUGACGCUGAGGCGCGAAAGCUAGGGGAGCAAACAGG
rnacentral:rRNA from 1 species